GGGGGAAGGCCGGAUUCUGGGCUGUGUCCUGGCGCCCUGGGCUCCCGGGCCUGCGCUGUUGGAUUCGCGCUCCCGGCUGCGGAUCUCCCC
rnacentral:pre_miRNA from 1 species